AUGGUGCUUCUUUGCAUUUUUCAUCAAAUACUGGAAGUUACACCAUGCAACUGGAUGCUAUCUUCUAUUGGAAUGAUCAUAGCGACGCCACCUGCUGGUCCAACUAUUUGAUACAGAUAAGACUUGUGAACUUCGCUAAUAUAUACUGACAAUUUGACGUUAUAUAGACGGAAGCAGAUUAGACUAAGGCACGUCCUUUGAUUUUUUUCUCUAGAUAAUGAGACAUGUCCUUUGAUGUUGCAGACGAUUGUAAUCAUGUCCAUUGGAUAAGAUUGUCUUGCGGGGGCAGAUGAUAGUUAUCCUUAAGGACUGAUUCAAUUGUGCUCAAUUCCAAUUGUGCAGUGUAGUCACGGUAUGAUGAUCAUUGCUAUUGAAGGUGAUUCUUGAUUGUAUCUACACUAUUCCUAAUCACGAUUGGUGUAUUCCCCUGCCGCCCACAAUCUUACAUCAAGUCCUUGUUUCCGGCCACCCUGCCGAUCCUCGCCUGCCACCGGCCGUGCUGAUGAUGUCUGCAAAACAUUACGUUUCCAUUGUCACAAUUUUUUGUUUUUGAAUAUAUUCAAGCAGAAAAAAGAUUAACAGAUGGAAGCCCCUCGUGAGAAGCCGCUGCUCUUCCUGACAAAAAAAAGAGUAGGAACACACACAAAGAAAAAGGUCAAUUCGUGACAAGUGCGACAGUGUGAGAACCCAAGGUGCGAGUAAAUAUGACAAGUGUGGCUGCAUGAGAACCAAAGGCAGAGAGGCACAUGCAGCUGUGCGUGCACUCACGCGUACGGCGAGGUGUGUACGUGGAAAAGCACUGCGUCUCCCAAGCAUGUGAAUCUCUGGAAUUGCCACUGUUUCUCACCUGCGCAGCGACGCGAUGAACUCCUGCCGCGUCAUCGACUUCAUCUCCUCCAGCUCCUUCUCGUAGUUGGCAACCUACGGUCAUCGACCGAUCGGUGGAGGUAAUUAAUCACUAGGGUUGUUGACUGCAACGAACACUUACAGGGAAGUUCGUCGUGGUGGUUGGACCCCAGUACUUCAGCGCGGCGAGGUCGUAGGCUCUUGCGGCCUUCUCCUCCUUAUCAUAGCCUCCUGCAUUUCGUAUAGUUCCCAACUUUUACAGGGCUAUGACAUGCAUGCACAUACCUUGGCGGCCUUUGCGGCUUUGGCCUUCCCGGCGGCAGCUGUUGUCCCACAGGAGUAAGGAGCCCAGCGACAAGGAACAUUCAAGUGAUGGUGACACACACAUCUACAUAUGGUUCUUGGCAGAGAUGGAAGCGUGUUCACGUGAUUUGGAAGAAUGGAAGUCGGCCAGAAGCUGACUAAUUAAUGCGUCGUCUACUUGACAAAGGUUUUAGAGGCGGGAAGAAUCCUAGCUUCAUAUGUCCGGCAAGCAGCAGCAACCACGGGCGAUGCUGCCUUUCAGUGUCAUCUUGUCCUCCCUAUUCAGUUGAAUCUAAAAUGAUGUAUUCGAGCCGUACUACACGUAUAGAGUAUUCGAAACUAACUGACAAGAAAGGUAUUCGAUUUUCCACAUGAGAUAGGUUUGUAACUUGCUCAGAACAAUUAGCGUUGCAUAAAGAUCAAGGAUAACGUUGCCUGCUGAGCCCUUUUGCAGGUAAUGCAGAGGGCAACUAGGAUAAUUGGCAAGAGGGCGAGCAAAUUACUAGAGUGAGAAUUCGACUAAGGGCUAUAUUAAUAGUGUCGAUCAUGAUACCAAGGAAUAUUUUUUUCAAGAUGCUCGGAGACCAACAGUUAAGUGUUACUACCGGUUUAUGAUGUGGUAUCAAGACACCAUCCAAUUUACUUGUGUACCCAUGUGGUCUCUUACUACUUCUAAACUUAAUCUUGUAACUUUCUCAAACAAUUCUCCGGCUACAAAAGCUCGGUACCCUAUUGUAAAGGACGAAUUACAUAAGAAAUAUAUCAAUGUGGUAUCUGAGCAUUUCACA